rnacentral:rRNA from 1 species
CCUACGGGUGGCAGCAGUAGGGAAUCUUCCACAAUGGGCGAAAGCCUGAUGGAGCAACGCCGCGUGGGUGAAGAAGGUCUUCGGAUCGUAAAACCCUGUUGUUAGAGAAGAACGUGCGUGAGAGUAACUGUUCACGUCUCUACGGUAUCUAACCAGAAAGCCACGGCUAAAUACGUGCCAGCCGCCCCGGUUAUACGUAGGUGGCAAGCGUUAUCCGGAUUUUUUGGGCGUAAAGGGAACGCAGGCGGGCUUUUAAGUCUGAUGUGAAAGCCUUGGGGUUAACCGGAGUAGUGCAUUGGAAACUGGGAGACUUGAGUGCAGGAGAGGAGAGUGGAACUCCAUGUGUAGCGGUGAAAUGCGUAGAUAUAUGGAAGAACACCAGUGGCGAAAGCGGCUCUCUGGUCUGUAACUGACGCUGAGGUUCGAAAGCGUGGGUAGCAAACAGGAUUAGAUACCCGAGUAGUC